rnacentral:ncRNA from 1 species
CGACCUCAGAUCAGGCGAGAGUACCCGCUGAAUUUAAGCAUAUCAUUAAGCGGUGGAAAAGAAACUAACAAGGAUUCCCCCAGUAACUGCGAGUGAAAAGGGAAGAGCCCAGCGCCGAAGCCGCCGUCCAUCACAGUGGGCGGAGGGCAAUGUGGCGUUAAGGAAGAGCCUUCUUGACCUGACGUUUCGUUGUUCGGACCGCGGGAGCCCGAGUCCCCCUGACCGGGGCCACUGCCCAUGGCGGGUGCAAGGCCUCUUCGGCUCCGUUCGACGGUUCGAAGGUUGCUGGCUUCCUUCCUCAGAGUCGGGUUGCUUGAGAGUGCAGCCCUAAGCGGGUGGUAAACUCCACCUAAGGCUAAAUAUCACCACGAGACCGAUAGCGAACAAGUACCGUGAGGGAAAGUUGCAAAGAACUUUGAAGAGAGAGUUCAAGAGUACGUGAAACCGCUCGGAGGCAAACGGGUGGGCCCUCGAAGGUCGAACGGGGGAAUUCAGCCUGUCGGCGAGCGCUUCCUGAUUUUGAAAGAAAAAUAGUACCGUCGAAAAGCAUUCGUGCGAAACGGAUCCGAGAAACCCAAAAAGCGGACCGGGCGGCAGGAGAGAUUUUACAAAAGCGUUCGUCGGCUCGUGCACUUUCCCCUUAGUAGGACGCCGCGACCGGUCGGGUCGAUAAAAGUUUUGCGGCCAUGAGGCGAGAACGAUCACGGAGGCAGGUGUCCGUUUCCGCGGGUCUCGCGGUCAGGGGGCUUCGGCGAUUCGCGUCGUCGUCGCACCUCGCGCGUCUCCCAGGUUCGGAGUUACAGCCUCUUCUCGACCCGUGCACCGCCACCCGACCGACAAAUGGUCACGAAUCCGUAGACGCGUGCCCGCGUGUAGUCAAAUACAACGCUCGCCCUAGUCCAGGGCAGGCCGGAUGCGCGAGUAAAAGUCCCACCUCGGCCCGUUAUCAAACGCGGGUA